AAAUUGAAGAGUUUGAUCAUGGCUCAGAUUGAACGCUGGCGGCAGGCCUAACACAUGCAAGUCGAACGGUAACAGGAAGCAGCUUGCUGCUUCGCUGACGAGUGGCGGACGGGUGAGUAAUGUCUGGGAAACUGCCUGAUGGAGGGGGAUAACUACUGGAAACGGUAGCUAAUACCGCAUAACGUCGCAAGACCAAAGAGGGGGACCUUCGGGCCUCUUGCCAUCGGAUGUGCCCAGAUGGGAUUAGCUAGUAGGUGGGGUAACGGCUCACCUAGGCGACGAUCCCUAGCUGGUCUGAGAGGAUGACCAGCCACACUGGAACUGAGACACGGUCCAGACUCCUACGGGAGGCAGCAGUGGGGAAUAUUGCACAAUGGGCGCAAGCCUGAUGCAGCCAUGCCGCGUGUAUG
rnacentral:rRNA from 1 species